rnacentral:rRNA from 1 species
GACGAACGCUGGCGGCGUGCUUAACACAUGCAAGUCGAACGGAAAGGCCCUGCUUUUGUGGGGUGCUCGAGUGGCGAACGGGUGAGUAACACGUGAGUAACCUGCCCUUGACUUUGGGAUAACUUCAGGAAACUGGGGCUAAUACCGGAUAGGAGCUCCUGCUGCAUGGUGGGGGUUGGAAAGUUUCGGCGGUUGGGGAUGGACUCGCGGCUUAUCAGCUUGUUGGUGGGGUAGUGGCUUACCAAGGCUUUGACGGGUAGCCGGCCUGAGAGGGUGACCGGCCAAAUUGGGACUGAGAUACGGCCCAGACUCCUACGGGAGGCAGCAGUGGGGAAUAUUGCAAAAUGGGCGGAAGCCUGAUGCAGCAACGCCGCGUGCGGGAUGACGGCCUUCGGGUUGUAAACCGUUUUCGCCUGUGACGAAGCGUGAGUGACGGUAAUGGGUAAAGAAGCACCGGCUAACUACGUG